rnacentral:snoRNA from 1 species
UAUUGUCGUGAAUCUUGUUCGAAGCGUUGAUUUUAUUCGUAUCGAAUGUAAAGGCCGACAUAGAUAGAAUUCGACUUUUAUUUAUGAAAAAUCCACAAGUUUCAAUGAUUUUUCAAAGGGAUAAAUGUCGAACACU